rnacentral:rRNA from 1 species
CCUACGGGGGGCAGCAGUGGGGAAUAUUGCACAAUGGGCGCAAGCCUGAUGCAGCCAUGCCGCGUGUGUGAAGAAGGCCUUCGGGUUGUAAAGCACUUUCAGCGGGGAGGAAGGCGUUAAGGUUAAUAACCUUGGCGAUUGACGUUACCCGCAGAAGAAGCACCGGCUAACUCCGUGCCAGCAGCCGCGGUAAUACGGAGGGUGCAAGCGUUAAUCGGAAUUACUGGGCGUAAAGCGCACGCAGGCGGUCUGUCAAGUCGGAUGUGAAAUCCCCGGGCUCAACCUGGGAACUACAUUCGAAACUGGCAGGCUAGAGUCUUGUAGAGGGGGGUAGAAUUCCAGGUGUAGCGGUGAAAUGCGUAGAGAUCUGGAGGAAUACCGGUGGCGAAGGCGGCCCCCUGGACAAAGACUGACGCUCAGGUGCGAAAGCGUGGGGAGCAAACAGGAUUAGAUACCCCUGAAGUC